rnacentral:rRNA from 1 species
UACGAGGGGGGCGAGCGUUGUUCGGAAUUAUUGGGCGUAAAGGGCGCGUAGGCGGUGCGGUAAGUCACCUGUGAAACCUCUGGGCUUAACUCAGAGCCUGCAGGCGAAACUGCCGUGCUGGAGUAUGGGAGAGGUAGGCGGAAUUCCUGGUGUAGCGGUGAAAUGCGUAGAUAUCAGGAGGAACACCGGUGGUGUAGACGGCUUACUGGACCAUGACUGACGCUGAGGCACGAAAGCGUGGGGAGCAAACAGG